rnacentral:lncRNA from 1 species
CCCAAAAGACUGGAAAAAAAAAAGAGAGCUGCGACGCAAUUUAGGAGAACAAAAAAAACGAUUCACCCCACACCCUAUCAGCUUUUUCUUCUUCAAAAAAACAAGAUGUUCACUGAUUUGAGAGCGAAAGGUUAAGACAAUUCCAAUUUCUUCUUCCAGGUCUAACGCCCACCAUUCACACACACACAACAAAGAAAGGGAGAUGGAAAAAGAUUAAAAACAGAGCUAAAAAGCACGAAGCUGCGCAACAACAAUUUUUUUAAAAUAAUAAAAAAUAAAGAUGCAGCUGCUCUAGGGGAGAAAAUGAAGCUGCUGAUCUUCUUCCUCAUCAAAAACUCCCCAAAAUUUUCCAGCAGUUGGGGUUUAAAUGAGGGCCAGUCAAGUCGAGUUUGCCGACAAGGUUCUCGAUCGUGGGCCUAUCUUGUUCGUUACUGUUCAAACCUCUAUGGUUUCCCUCUGUUAUGCUAAAGAUGCAUUUAUCUUAAUGAAGGUCCAGUUUCUUCUUCUUAACCAUUUUAUUGUCCGUAUACUUUUUUUGCUAUAUGUUGUAUUUGUUUUAUUUUUGUGGUUGAAAGCAUGUUAGUUAUAUUAGUUUUUCUUCUCCUUCAUCCC